rnacentral:rRNA from 1 species
GAUGAACGCUGGCGGCGUGCCUAAUACAUGCAAGUCGAACGAGGUGAAAGGAAGCUUGCUUUCUUGAACUUAGUGGCGAACGGGUGAGUAAUACAUAAGCAAUCUACCCCUAUGCCUGGGAUAACAGUUGGAAACGACUGCUAAUACCGGAUAGGUCUAUUGAGGACAUCCUUGAUAGAUUAAAGAUGGGCUACAUCACAAAGGGAUGAGCUUAUGGCGCAUUAGCUAGUUGGUGAGGUAACGGCUCACCAAGGCGAUGGUGCGUAGCCGACCUGAGAGGGUGACCGGCCACACUGGGACUGAGACACGGCCCAGACUCCUACGAGAGGCAGCAGUAGGGAAUUUUCGGCAAUGGGGGCAACCCUGACCGAGCAACGCCGCGUGAGUGAAGAAGGUUUUCGGAUCGUAAAGCUCUGUUGUUUGAGACGAAUGUGCAGACUUUGAAUAAGGGUUUGUAAUGACGGUAUUAAACGAGAAAGCCACGGCUAACUACGUGCCAGCCGCCGCAGUAACAC